rnacentral:tRNA from 3 species
GCGCCAUUAGCUCAGCUGGAUAGAGCACCGGACUUCUAAUCCGAUGGUCGAGGGUUCGAAUCCCCCAUGGCGCACCC